UAUCUCUGUAGAGUCUGCAUAUCAAUAAGCGGAGGAAAAGAAACUAACAAGGAUUCCCUUAGUAACGGCGAGUGAAGCGGGAAGAGCUCAAAUUUGAAAUCUUCAAGGUUUUACCUUGACGAAUUGUAGUUUAAAGAAGUGUUUUCUGUUGAAGUUUCGGUAAAAGUUCUUUGGAAUAGGACAUCAUAGAGGGUGAGAAUCCCGUAUUUGACCGUUAUUUUCAGCUGUGUGAUACACUUUCAAAGAGUCGGAUUGUUUGGGAAUGCAGUCCAAAAUGGGUGGUAAAUUUCAUCUAAAGCUAAAUAUUGGCGAGAGACCGAUAGCGAACAAGUACCGUGAGGGAAAGAUGAAAAGAACUUUGAAAAGAGAGUUAAACAGUACGUGAAAUUGUCAAAAGGGAAGCGUUUGACACCAGUGUUGUUUUCUCGAAAAUCAAUUAAAAAUGGCAUGAUUUUGUGUUGUAUUGACCUUUAAUCAGCUUUCUGCACUUUUUUCUUGUCUUUUUAAUGCACUUUUCGUUUAACAAGUCAACAUCAAUUUCUUUUGCUGUAAAAGAGUCAUUGGAAGGUGGCUUUCUUUUCGGAGAAAGUGUUUAUAGCCUUUGACUUCUGCAGUCGGAGAGAUUGAGGUCUGCAGCGUAGAUCCUUCGGGGUUAGAUGCAUUUGUGCUAAGUUAUAGCCUUUCAUAGACAACUUGUUGACUAUGAUCAGUCAUGUAGCUUACUCGCUUAUGUUAUUCUACCUACGCUUAGGAUGUUGAACGCGCACAGAGUCUC
rnacentral:rRNA from 1 species